CCUACGGGGGGUAGCAGUGAGGAAUAUUGGUCAAUAGGCGGGAGCCUGAACCAGCCAAGUCGCGUGAAGGAAGAAGGUACUUAGUAUUGUAAACUUCUUUUGUCGGGGAACAAAGGCGGAGACGCGUCUCCGGAUGAGUGUACCCGAAGAAAAAGCAUCGGCUAACUCCGUGCCAGCAGCCGCGGAAAUACGGAGGAUGCGAGGUUUAGCCGGCUUUAUGGGGUUUAAAGGGUGCGCAGGGGGGAGAUCAAGUCAGCGGUAAAAUGUCGGGGCUCAACCCCGGCCGGCCGUUGAAACGGGUUUUCUAGAGUGGGAGAGAAGUAUGCGGAAUUCGUGGUGUAGCGGUGAAAUGCAUAGAGAUCACGAAGAACUCCGAUUGCGAAGGCAGCAUACCGGCUCCAUACUGACGCUGAGGCACGAAAGCGUGGGGAUCGAACAGGAUUAGAUACCCUGGUAGUC
rnacentral:rRNA from 1 species